AGCAGUCGCCACGGUAAUACGAAGGGGGCUAGCGUUGCUCGGAAUGACUGGGCGUAAAGGGCGCGUAGGCGGCGGCCAAAGUCAGGCGUGAAAUUCCCGGGCUCAACCUGGGGGCUGCGUUUGAUACUUGGUUGCUUGAGUGGGGAAGAGGGUCGUGGAAUUCCCAGUGUAGAGGUGAAAUUCGUAGAUAUUGGGAAGAACACCGGUGGCGAAGGCGGCGACCUGGUCCUUUACUGACGCUGAGGCGCGAAAGCGUGGGGAGCGAACAGGAUUAGAUACCCCAGUAGUCCCUGUCUCUUAUAA
rnacentral:rRNA from 1 species